rnacentral:rRNA from 1 species
GAUGAACGCUGGCGGCGUGCCUAAUACAUGCAAGUCGAGCGAACGGACGCGAAGCUUGCUUCUCUGAUGUUAGCGGCGGACGGGUGAGUAACACGUGGAUAACCUACCUAUCAGACUGGGAUAACUUCGGGAAACCGGCGCUAAUACCGGAUAAUAUUUUGAACCGCAUGGUUCAAAAGUGAAAGACGGUCUUUCUGUCACUUAUAGAUGGAUCCGCGCUGCAUUAGCUAGUUGGUAAGGUAACGGCUUACCAAGGCAACGAUGCAUAGCCGACCUGAGAGGGUGAUCGGCGACACUGGAACUGAGACACGGUCCAGACUCCUAAGGGAGGCAGCAGUAGGGAAUCUUCCGCAAUGGGCGAAAGCCUGACGGAGCAACGCCGCGUGAGUGAUGAAGGUCUUCGGAUCGUAAAACUCUGUUAUUAGGGAAGAACAUAUGUGUAAGUAACUGUGCACAUCUUGACGGUACCUAAUCAGAAAGCCACGGCUAACUACGUG